UGGCGUGAGGUGGCUGGUGAGGGGCGCGCUGUGGUGUUUCGUGUUGCCUGGUGAACUUAUGGCUUCGGCAAAGACAGUGGCAAGUUUGAAAAAUCGACAGUGUGUCAAGGAUUACAUUUUGACCGCCAUUGACCAGCUGAAGCAGCGCAAAGCUCGUCCAGAUCGGUACCGCAUUGCCUAUGUUCUCAGCAAGCAAUUCGGAGUGGAUGUUGAAGCUGCUAACGACACAUUGGAGCAAAUGACAGAUGAACACAAGAUUGUUCGGGUGGACUACAAGGGUUCUGUGAGCUACAGAGACAUCAGAAACUGGAUACGCGUCAACGAUAAUAUUCAAGGGAUAUCCAUGUACGGAGGUGCCUUUAUCCUGAAUUCUGAUCGGGCUAGUGCUGCCAUCCACGAAGCGGUCAAAUCGUUAGCACUUGAUAAAAAUGCAAGGACAGUGACCUUGGCCGAGGUGGAAAAAUACUUCAAAGACAAGGCACAUAAUCAAUACACCACCGCGCCUUUGGCCGUCGCGCUUCAACGUGAAGUGAACGCCGGGCACCUGCUGAAAGCGGGCGUCAAUGUUUUCGCUCUCCAGACAUCGAAAAAACAAAAACAGGAGAUGAUGGUAAACCGGACAGAAUCACCUACAUCAGAGGGGACUUCAGAUGGAAACGAUGCCAUCAAUGACAACGGAAAAAGAGUAAAGAAAACCAAGGUGAUCUUCGACCCGAGCGAGACGCGCCCGACGCAAACCGACCAGCCGGCGGCCAAGCGAGCAAAGAAGAUGGUGAUGAGCGCUCUUAGCUCGUCCGCUGCCGCCGCCGUCGCUGCUGCCCCUGCCGCGGCCACCGCCGCCGCCACUGCAACCUCCACGUCCACCGUCACCGCUACCGCCUCCACGACCGCCCCGGCCAGGCGUGUGUGCAACUUCUGUCACAAGCAGACCAAACAUGAGGUGGUGCUGGUGUGUCGUCAGUGCCAGACGCCAGCGCACCCGAGCUGCUUGGGAUACAGCAGACGCCUGGCCAAGGUCGUGCAAAAUCACCCGUGGACAUGCAUGGACUGCAAGACCUGCAAGCUCUGCCGGGACGUGGGUGGGGAGCUGAUAUUCUGCGACAAGUGCGACGAGGCGUACCACAUGGUGUGCCACCGGCCGGUGGUGCGGCGAAAGCCGGUCGGCGAGUGGAUGUGUCUGCAGUGUCGCGGUGGCAAGCCCGGUCCCGGCCGGCCCGCCAAGCUAGCUUGGAAGCCACAAUCGCCGCCUGCCCGUGAGCUGCUGGCGAAGCCGGCGGCGGUGGCGGCGUCGCAACCGAAGGUAGCGCAGAAAACCGCGCCGAAGCCAGCACUAAAGUUGGCUCAAAAGCCGGCGCCGAAAUCGGUGCAGAAGCCGGCGCAGAAGCCGGUGCAGAAGCCGGCGCAAAAACCGCCGCCGAAGCCGGCGCCGAAGCCGGCGCCGGUUGCGGUGGCGGUCCGGCUGGACUGGCCGCUGCAGCUGUUGGACGCGCCGGUGGACCCCAGCGUACCGGACGCUUCCGGCUGGAGCACCGCCGAGGUGGCCGCUUACUUCAGCCGUCACGGCUUCGCCCAACACGCCGACGCCUUCCGCAAGCACGAGGUGGACGGACCGGCGCUGCUGAUGCUGGCCAGGAUGGACGUGCUGCGAGGCCUUGGCCUGAAGCUCGGGCCCGCGCUCAAAGUCUACAACCACGUCAAGCUGUUGCAGACACGGCGGCGAGCCUGUCUGGACUUCUGCCUACUCUGAGCACCGAUAGAUGACAGUCUGUGCAGCGAGCUUGCGUGGACUUCUCCCUGCUGCCUGUCGUGGACCGGGCCAUCUCGGCGUGUAACGGCGUGGAGGCGCUGGCUGCUUCUCCGGUGUGUGUUGUCAGAUGGCUGUUUUUCGCCGUCGGCUGGCUAAGCUGAGUCAGUCAGAGCUCCGCGUGACACAGAGACCUCAUGCGGUGCUUGGUGUGGCAUCUCCCAUGCUUCCCUGUCGGUAGAAUCAGCUGCGUGAUGUCAUUAGCCGAGAUCUCUGGUAUGUGGAGGCCGCGAGCCAAGUGAAGUGUUUUGGUGGUUUGUAGCAAGGCGGAGUAGGUACCGUGUAUUGCCACCCCGGUGCACCGACGCCGUAAAGGGCGAGACAUAUAUGUACGUGCAUCGAUUCCUGUGCUCGGUCUUCGGAAUGGUUCAGGUACUCAGGUGGUCUGCGUACCCGGGUGAUAUGCAUGCUACCUUUUGUGACGGAGCGAUUGACGUGUAUACAUACAUCAAA
rnacentral:misc_RNA from 1 species